UACGGGGGGGCAAGGCGUUGUUCGGAAUUACUGGGCGUAAAGGGCGCGUAGGCGGCCUGCUAAGUCGGAUGUGAAAUCCCGUCGGCUCCAACCGGAGGAACUGCAUCCGAUACUGGCGGGCUUGAAUCCGGGAGAGGGAUGUGGAAUUCCAGGUGUAGCGGUGAAAUGCGUAGAUAUCUGGAGGAACACCGGUGGCGAAGGCGGCAUCCUGGACCGGUAUUGACGCUGAGGCGCGAAAGCUAGGGGAGCAAACGGGG
rnacentral:rRNA from 1 species